rnacentral:lncRNA from 1 species
ACAUCAUCUUCAAGGAUGAGGAGAACAGUGGAGCCGACCGCCUGAUGACCGACGUUGUAAGGAGCGGGUGAACGCUUUGGCCAUUGCCGUGAUGAACAUGUGGCCCGGAGUGCGCCUACGAGUGACUGAGGGCUGGGACGAGGACGGCCACCACGCUCAGGAUUCACUCCACUACGAAGGCCGUGCUUUGGACAUCACUACGUCUGACCGCGACCGCAACAAGUAUGGGUUGCUGGCGCGCCUCGCAGUGGAAGCCGGCUUCGACUGGGUCUACUACGAGUCC